rnacentral:rRNA from 1 species
GACGAACGCUGGCGGCGUGCUUAACACAUGCAAGUCGAGCGGUAAGGCCCUUUCGGGGUACGACGAGCGGCGAACGGGUGAGUAACACGUGGGUGACCUGCCCUCCAGCUCUGGGAUAAGCCUGGGAAACCGGGUCUAAUACCGGAUAUGACUCCAUGACGCAUGUUGUGGGGUGGAAAGCCUUGUGCGGCUGAGGAUGGGCCCGCGGCCUAUCAGCUUGUUGGUGGGGUGAUGGCCUACCAAGGCGACGACGGGUAGCCGGCCUGAGAGGGCGACCGGCCACACUGGGACUGAGACACGGCCCAGACUCCUACGGGAGGCAGCAGUGGGGAAUCUUGCGCAAUGGGCGAAAGCCUGACGCAGCGACGCCGCGUGAGGGAUGACGGCCUGG